UACGUAGGGGGCAAGCGUUGCUCGGAAUUACUGGGCGUAAAGGGCGCGUAGGCGGCACAGCAAGUCGGGAGUGAAAGCCCGGGGCUCAACCCCGGAACUGCUUUCGAAACUGCUGAGCUAGAGUACAGAAGGGGCAACCGGAAUUCCCAGUGUAGCGGUGAAAUGCGUAGAUAUUGGGAAGAACACCUGAGGCGAAGGCGGGUUGCUGGGCUGAUACUGACGCUGAGGCGCGAAAGCCAGGGGAGCAAACGGG
rnacentral:rRNA from 1 species